GACUUAAAUACAACCCACAGAAGUGCUGGCUUGGCUGGCAAAACUUUUGCUAAACAGAAGAGCAACAUUUUUUUCUUUUCUUUUCUGGACUUUGCAAACAGCAUUGAUUCUCAGCCUUGCCUUCCAAACGUUCCAGCUGGAACAUUGCUGGGCAGCGUGGACACAGACGCGAACGUCAUCCAGGCCGGCAGGGGGCGGCAGACCCCACACUUCGCCGCGCGCCCCGGCCUCCCUGGGAGGGAGAGUCCAGCUGCCAAUGCCUGUCGCAGGUUUGGUCCCAAGCGACUUCAGCCAGCAGACGGUUCCAGUUCUGAGGCUGCAAAAUUCGGACUGACCUUCUUUUGUGCCAUCAGUGUGAUCCUGUGUCCGCUAUGCAAAGCACUGUUUACUGAAUCUGGUGGAAAAGCAAUGCAAGGUGUACCUGCUUCCCCUUCCUCUUCCACCACGAUUCUAAGUUUCCUGAGGAAUCUCCAGCCAUGCUUCCUGUACAGCCUGCAGAACUGUGAGUCAAUUAAACCUCUUUUCUUUACACAUUACCCAGUUUUAAAUAGUUAUUUACAGCAAUGCAAGCAUGGACUAAUACAGAAAAGUGGUACCUAGGAGUGGGGCAUUGCUAUAAAGAUACCUGAAAAUUUGGCAGUGACUUUGGAACUGGGUAAUUGGUAGAGGUUAGAACAGUGUGGUGGGGUCAGAAGAAGACAGGAAGAUAUGAGAAAAUCUGAAACUUUCCGGAGACUUGUUGAGUGGCUGUGACCAAAAUGCUGAUAGUGAUAUGGACAGUGAAGUCCAGGCUGAGGAGGUCUCAGAUGGAGAGGAGGAACUUAUUGGGACCUGGAGUAAAGGUCGCUCUUGCUAUACUUUAGCAAAGAGACCGGUGGUAUUGUGCCCCACCUCUAGGGAUCUGUAGAACUUUGAACUUGAGAGAGCUGACUUAGGGGGUGUAAACUAAAAAUAAAAUUCUAAGAUUCCCCUCCCCUCCGGCCA
rnacentral:lncRNA from 13 species